AACGGUCUAUACCUGCGGUACCUGCGGAAGGAUCAUUACCGAGUUCUCGCCCCUCGCGGGGUAGACCUCCCACCCACUGUGAUCACUACCGUCGUUGCUUUGGCGGGCCGCUGGGCCCAGCCCACCGCCGGCUCCGGCUGGCGCGUGCCCGCCAGAGGCCCUACAAACGCUGGAUAUCAGUGCCGUCUGAGUACACAUGUUAAUCGUUAAAACUUUCAGCAACGGAUCUCUAGAUCGGAA
rnacentral:misc_RNA from 1 species